GACGAACGCUGGCGGCGUGCUUAACACAUGCAAGUCGAGCGGUAAGGCCCUUUCGGGGGUACACGAGCGGCGAACGGGUGAGUAACACGUGGGUGACCUGCCCUUAGCUCUGGGAUAAGCCUGGGAAACUGGGUCUAAUACCGGAUAUGACUCCAUGACGCAUGUUGUGGGGUGGAAAGCCUUGUGCGGCUAGGGAUGGGCCCGCGGCCUAUCAGCUUGUUGGUGGGGUGAUGGCCACCGAAGGCGACGACGGGUAGCCGGCCUGAGAGGGCGACCGGCCACACUGGGACUGAGACACGGCCCAGACUCCUACGGGAGGCAGCA
rnacentral:rRNA from 1 species